CCCUUCCCUCUCCUUCAUUCUUUCGAAACCCUAAAAAUAGCCGAUCCCCUCCCCUUUGCACACACAAGCCAGUACAAUCAAUGGGAAAAAGAUCGAGGGAAAACGAUUGAGGCUUGAAAACUUCGACAACUAAUCUAAAUGGGAUUCAAUCCCCUGUGAAGCCAGUACAAAAGUGGUUCUUGGCUCCAGUUCGACAUCUGCUGAUGAAGAACUCUUACGCAUCAGAGCUACCUAUGUGUCUCACGAUGCUCAGCUCCUUUGAAAAGCCAGGGGUGGCACCAGUUCGCCCCUAGAAAAGUUCAUCAGAGGUCGGUGCCGCUCAGAUUAAGGGGUUUGGGUGAGGUUUCAUACAGGGGCUUGGCCGAGGUUUCAAAAAAUUAGAAGGUUUCCUUUUCUUUUAAGUUUAAUAGUUAAAAUGGGCUUAAUGAAGUGCUGAAAAGGGUAAUUUGUGAUAUGUUCAUCAGUUAAAUCCUUACUUUUUUAUAUUUUUAGUUUUUUUUUGUGGAUACACAGGGAACAACAAUAAUUGACUUGUAGUUUUUGCUUUACUUAUAUAUUAAUGACUGAACAUUUCAGUUCAUAUCUUAUUUGGAAUCUAAAUGGCUUGUAUAAAUUUUUAACAAGCUCGGAUCUGAUAUGAAUCUUCCGAGUCAUGAGUUUAACAAGCUCAUCUUUUGACUUUUUUUCCCGAGUCAUGAGUUUAGCAAGCUCAUUUUUUGACUUUUUUUUUCUUCCGAGUCAUGAGUUUAACAUGCUUUUAUAUUUUUAUGUUUAACUUAUCAUUUUGUGAAAGUCGAUUUAUUGGAUAUCUCAGGAGGAAAAGAGAAGGGGAAAGGGUGCAGUGUUUUGUUUGGAGAUUAUAGCUUAAGAUCUACACUAACCCUAAUUGUGUGGAUUAAGCUCUGGUUUUGGGCUUCUAUAUGCAGCAAACACCAGACAGUAAUUUUUUCUGAAGGUAAAAAUAAAUUGACGUUUUUGGUCAAAUAAUUGAUAUAUCCAAUAGUCAAAUAUGUCUUUUCCGAAGAAUAAAACGUCGAUAAUCACCAAAAUAAUGGCCAAACUCAUUGUCUUUUCAUUUAAUGCUUUAAUGCUGAUAAGUACUUUUGGUAUGAGAAUAAAGUUUAACUUGUAGAUUUAUCUCUUUUUAAUGACACACAGAUCUUGAAGGUGUGACAUAAAUAAUAAAACUAAUGAUUUGUGCAAUUUGGGUAAUAAGUUGUAAUGCAAGUUUUAAAGGAUACAUGACUCUCAUAGCUCCCACUUUUCCUCUCCUUUUGUUUUCCUUUUUGAAUUAAUUCAUUAUUGGUGUUUGGUGUGGCUCGGAUGGUGGCGAAAAAGAGAACAUAUUCUUUGCUGCUAUGGAGUUUAGCAAACCAAGCAAGCCCAGGGUUCGGUAUACAAGACCGUGGAGCCCAUCUGCAUCGGUGAAGCCUCUUAAUAAUAGUGGUUGCAGAGAAAAUCGUACCAAUAAGCAUUCAUAUCAUUUGAAAGUCAAUUUCGCAAAGCUUGGAAGCAACACGCUCGGGCGAUAUAGCACCUUCGACCUUGUAAGUCAGAACUCCCCCCCCCCCCCCCCCCCCACAGACACAGACACAGAGAAAACAUGCUGAUUAUUGACAUGCAACUUCUAGAAAGGUCAAUUGUUAACCACUAAUGCUAAAAUAAUAAGAAUUCAGCAAGUGAUAAGUUCAUUAACUUGUCCUUGUUGGUUUUAUGGAGUGUGCAGUAGAAGGGUUAAAGUAUCUUAUUUCCACCAAACUAAUGGCAGUUGCAUAUUCACUCAGCAACUCAUAUUUAAAUGUGCUUCUUACAGAUUAUAUAUGUCUACUUGUUUGCUGAUGUUAUUUGCUGUUGGAUUUGGUAAUUUGGGCCUGUAUGAAAUCCUAACAAAAUGAAGUCAAAUAUAGAAAAAUCAAAAUUUGGCUUUGAUUGUGAGUCAAGUAUCCUGUUUGUAUUGAUUUAUGAUUCUCAUAUCAUAUUAGUUGUUAUAACAUGCUCAGAAUGCCUUUAAUGCUUAAUAAAUUUUAGAGUAAACUGCAAUUUUACCCUCUGGGGUUUAAGAUAAUUGGCACUCUGACCCCCUCUAACGAAAUAAUUGCAAUUUUACCCCACAACGUUGUUCUGUCGCAUAAUUACCCCCUGCCGUCAGUCAACGGUAGUUUGACCCUUAUAGGUAAGGGUAUUUUGGUAAUCUUACCCAUAUUUAUUAUUAUUAUUA